UACAGAGGUCUCGAGCGUUAGGCGGAAUCACUGGGCUUAAAGCGUGUGUAGGCGGACUGGUAAGUACCUUGUGAAAUCCCACGGCUCAACCGUGGAACUGCUUGGUAUACUGCUUGUCUUGUGCAACCUAGGGGCGAGCGGAACAGAUGGUGGAGCGGUGAAAUGCGUAGAUAUCGGAAGGAACACCGGUGGCGAAAGCGGCGCGCUGGACCUCUUCUGACGCUGAGGCGCGAAGACCAGGGGAGCGAACGGG
rnacentral:rRNA from 1 species